GAAAGAUCUCUGAGAAUGGUUCAGCACCCAGAGUUCUGUCUUGUACUUCUCCUCAUGUUGCAGACAUCCACGAAAGAGUGAGACGGUUGUCGGUUGGAUUGAAGAACAAAUGUGUGGAAGGCACUGAGGAAAAAAGGAGAGAAAUAUCUAACUAAACCCAACAGAAGAGAAAGUUUCAAGAAACAGGUCGUCACCAAUACCAAAAUUAGCCAUGAUAUUCAGGAAGAAAAAAAUAGAAACAUGAUAACCACCUUCAGUAAAGACCACGGUCUGAUUCCAUUGGCCAGAGCACAGCCACGCCGCCACACCUGGCUAAGGAGAGACUGGCUGAAGUUUAGCUGUGGAUUGAGAAAGAGGAGGACACUGAUUACUUAUAAAAACCUUUCAAGCUUUGGCACGUUAUUCUAGAAGCAACUAGAUACAUCAUUAUCCAUCCGUGCUUCAUUAUCAACUGGGAUAAUUGCUAAAAUACGACAGGAUGUCUCCAUAUAUCCCUGAUCAAAAUAUCAAAGGAAUGGGUCUCGUGAAUAUGUUUUCAUGGUGACUGUGUUGGGCUCCAUAUUUGAAAACAACUGAGUGAGUAUUCUAUCUUUUGAAAAUAAAAAUAAGUCAAAACAUUUAUUUUAAAA